rnacentral:lncRNA from 1 species
CAUUUAUCCAAUCUAAACCAAUAGAAAGGAUGAAAAAUAUUUGUUCAUUAGCCAACAUAUAUAGUAGUGUAUAGAUGCUAUGCAAUGUCUAGUAGGAAUAAUGUGCAUGCAAGUAGAAUCUAUAUUUUUAUGGGUAAAUAUUUUCGGACAAUAUUUGGAUAGAAAAUUAAUUUAUCUAUAUUUCUUUUAUAUAUUGGAAG